rnacentral:lncRNA from 1 species
CACCGGCAGACAAAGAACUCUCCAAGAACCUCUGCAUGGAUAACCAGACUUGCUGGGAUUACGUGCACAAGCUGAACAACAAUGUGCCCCAUACCAAGGUCUCCUGUUGCCAAGGAAACUGCUCAGGACUCACUAACACCUCAGGGGAACACAAGAAAACCACCUGUUUCUCCUGCCCAGACUCUGGGCCCUGUCAAAGCUUCCUCUGCCCUGCCGGGAAGGACACCUGCCUCAGCAUGGUGGAGGUCCAAGCUGGACCUUCUGGGUGAAUGUCACCUGCUGCAGCGGCGGCCACUGUGGUGACCCCUUCCAGCCAGGUACGUGUGCCCGGGCAGGGCG